UACACUCCUCGGGAGGCAGCAGUGGGGAAUUUUGGACAAUGGGCGAAAGCCUGAUCCAGCAAUGCCGCGUGAGUGAAGAAGGCCUUCGGGUUGUAAAGCUCUUUUGUCAGGGAAGAAACGGUGAAAGCUAAUAUCUUUUGCUAAUGACGGUACCUGAAGAAUAAGCACCGGCUAACUACGUGCCAGCAGCCGCGGUAAUACGUAGGGUGCAAGCGUUAAUCGGAAUUACUGGGCGUAAAGCGUGCGCAGGCGGUUUUGUAAGUCUGAUGUGAAAUCCCCGGGCUCAACCUGGGAAUUGCAUUGGAGACUGCAAGGCUAGAAUCUGGCAGAGGGGGGUAGAAUUCCACGUGUAGCAGUGAAAUGCGUAGAUAUGUGGAGGAACACCGAUGGCGAAGGCAGCCCCCUGGGUCAAGAUUGACGCUCAUGCACGAAAGCGUGGGGAGCAAACAGGAUUAGAUACCCUUGUAGUCCCAUGAU
rnacentral:rRNA from 1 species